CAAUGUACAAAUUUAAUGCUGUUCUGAAGACCUACUUGGCCUGAGAGACAAAACUUAAGAAAAUUUUCCAGAAUAGCGCAUGAUGAGCUUCACAAUGAAACUUAAAUAACUCAACUAUCAUGGUUAACUGGAUCGAGGCAGCCUCAAAAUCAGAAGAUACAUAAUUUUAAUUACAAAAGCUUAAUAUAUCAUUAUUUUGUAUUUAUAAUUUAUACCAAACAAUAAAUAUAUUUUAACAGAUAAAUACAAGCAGUUUUAUAACUUCUCAAUAACCAUCCAAUAAACAAGGAAACUUAAACUACAAUUAUUUACUGCAUCUAUAAAUUUCCCUACUAUAUAUAGACAUCUUUCAAUAAUAACUUUACAUACCUUUACAUUGUUCGUCGAUUGUUCUGCGAUAUUCAGUAAUAUAGAUGGCUUUGCACUUUCACACAAUCUCAGAAAUUACAUCUAAAUCAAUGCACUGGAACUUAAAAGUUCGUGUUAUUCGAUUGUGGAUAGUUCCUGAUAAAUUCAAAUCAGAAAUACCUUACUCUUUGGAGAUGAUUUUACAGGAUGAAAAGGUACUACUCAUACAAAUAGUUUUUAUAUACUUGAAAACAAUUAUCAUAAAACAAUAUUUUGUUUUAUUACAGGGUGAUCGUAUUCAUGCAUCACUUGGAAAGACAGUAAUUAAGCAUUUCGGAGAAAUUCUAUAUGAACUUGGUGUUUUUCGGAUGAAUUACUUUGUGAUUGCCCCAAACAUCAUGAAAUUUUAAGACAACAACACACAAACACAAGCUUAACUUCACUGUGACUACAAAUGUUAAGGAAAUUCAAGAUCCUUCUUUUCAUAUGGAUAUAUUCAAUAUCCGCACCUUUGACAAAUUGACAAUUCAUCACAAUGUUGAUGAGACUGAGUCUUUUGGGUAAUAAUGAUAUGUUAUUCCAUUCAUUAGAUUUUAAAUUUACAAUAUAUUAAUAAUGUAUUUUAUUGCAGAUGUUGUUGGACAUGUUGCUUCAUAUCAACCAAUUCAACAGAUAAAGCAAGGAGAUGACAAUAAUUAUUUCAUCAAUAUUGUUCUAGAAGAUGAUAAGUAAUUAUUUGAAAUUUAGUUUAUUAUUAUAUAUAUUCAUUUAUCAUUUAUAUAUUAAAAUGUAAUUAAAUUUCAUUAAUACAGUAAAAAUAGACUGUCAACAACAUUAUGGGGUGAACUUGCGGACCAAAUACAAUCACAUUUGACGGGAUCUGCAGAUGAACCUUUGAUUGUGGUUUGUCAAUUAAUGAAGGCUCACAAAUUUAGAGGUUUACACAUUGUAAUUUCAGUAACACAAUUUUAAAAUACAAAUUUAUUUUGUAUAAAUAUUUUGACAUUGUAUAAUAUCAAUCAUCAGAAAACUACUAAGUACGUAGUUGUUGGUAUCAAACCAAAAUCUGGAUUAAUCCUAAUCUACCUCAGCCUACUGAAUUCAAAGACAGGUUAGAAAAUUAUACUAUGUCUUAAGAGAGGAAUCCUCUCUAGGUGCUUAGUUUAAUUUACAUCUUAUUGUAUUGGGUGAAGUAGACUAACCUUAGUAGGUAGGUUUACUUCUACCCACCAUAGGAUUGGAGGUAAGGUACUUGCCCCCCUCCAUGUAUUUUUGAAUUUCAUAUAUGAUAAGGCCUGGGGGUGUUGCUCAGCCCCUGAACCCCUCAAGGGUCGUUCUAAUAAAAAAUAAAAAAAUAAAAAAAAAGAUAGAGGCUCCAACUGUCUGUUAUGGAUGGCACUGUAUUUAUUUCAAUAUUGCUUUGGAAUAAAGAGACUAUACAACUACUUGGUAAAACUGCAAAAGAGUUGAAAGAAGGAUUACUUGAAGAUGACGAAAGUUCUUAUCCAACAGAGAUUGGUGAUUUAAUGGAGAAGAAAUUUAUGUUUAAGAUUUUGAUCAAGGACUCAAACAUUAACAAAAAAGAUAAUGUCUAUAAAAAUGUUAAUUUCACCUAUGAUGAUGCUCUUUUAAAAGAAUAUUGUCAUCCUGAUCUUCAGGACAGUCUUAAUGUAAGUGUUUAAACACCAACAUAUUUGUUUACAUUAUACAUACAAAUUUUUAAAUUUUGUAUAAAUUGUUAAUUAUGUUUAUAAUGUUCAAACAAAAAUCACUUUUUGAAUGUGAGCAAAGCUAUGAUGAAGAUAAACUCUUUGAGUUAUUCUAACUUUAGAUAAGUUACAUCUUCUAUAUUACUAAUCAGAUUGAAAACACUUGAAGUACUUAUAAUCUUUAUGUUAUUUUAAUUUUAGACUCCAAACAAGAGCAGCAUUUCAGAGUGUCGUACAUUAAUUACUGAAGAUGUGAUUGAUUUAACUACAAAGAUAUCUACCAAGAGUAGCAAAGCUGCUAGAAAAUCUACAAGGCAUGAAAUUAAAGACGAUUUGAAUGUCAAACAACCCAGCAACAAAAUUCGCAAAGUGAUUAAGAAGGAAAAGAAUACCUAAAGCUAUCUUCCAAAUUUGAAGUUAUUGGAAGAUUAUGUUUUAAUUUAGGUUGUAUUAAGUUUAGUUUAUUAUUUUAAUAUAUUUAUGUUUUAAUAAGGUAGUUGGAUGAUCUAUGUAGUUUAUUAUAUAAAUUCAAGCUAUUAAGUUGUCUUCUUUAUUUAUAUCUCUCUCUCUCAAUCUAUAUCUAUCUAUCAUUCUCUCUCUCUCUCACUCUAUAUAUAUAUAUAUGUGUGUUUGUGGGGUUGUUUUUAAUUUAUGUUGUUAAUCCUCUACAUGUUGUCUUAAUGUGUAUUUUAUAUUCUCUGACUUAUAGUUUUACAUUCAUUAGUAACAGAAGGAUCAUUAAAGUUAACUUUACUGCAUACAAAAUCUAAACAACACACUAUUAGCUGAUUUUUACAAAUACGUUAGUGCAAUUUAAGAGACAUACCUUAUUCCCAUAUGUUAAAAAACAUGCAACACUUUGGUGAACAAUAUGGUGGAUCCACAUCAAUUUCUGAGCUGAUAUAUUCAGAAUAGGAAUCAGAUAUUCUAAAGCUCCAAGCAAUUCAUCUUCAUUCUUCCAAUAUAUAUGUUCAAAGGUAGUCAUAAUGAACAAUGAUUUAUAAUAAUUCUAUCAAAUUUGCUGAAGGAGUACCUUGCUUUAUAUAACAUGUUGAAUCUUCAUUUAUAUUCACAAUGCUACAGCCCCAAAGUUGCACCAAAACAGCAGCAGAAAAGAUCCAAAGCUGCA
rnacentral:lncRNA from 1 species